rnacentral:tRNA from 1 species
AAAAAUUUAGUUAAAUCAUAACAUUGAAUUGUCAUUUCAAAAUUACAUAUGUAAUUUUUA